rnacentral:rRNA from 1 species
UAACGGACGUGGGUAACCUGCCUAUAAGACGUGAACAACAGUUAGAAAUAGACUGCUAAUACACGAUAAGCACACCAGUAUCGCAUGAUACAGUGUGAAAAGAAUUUCGCUUAUAGAUGGACCCGCGUUUGAUUAGCCAGUUGGUGGGGUAACGGCCUACCAAAGCAACGAUCAAUAGCCGGCCUGAGAGGGCGACCGGCCACAUUGGGACUGAGACACGGCCCAAACUCCUACGGGAGGCAGCAGUGGGGAAUAUUGGACAAUGGGGGCAACCCUGAUCCCAGCAACGCCGCGUGAGUGAUGAAGUAUCUUGGUAUGUAAAGCUCUAUCAGUAGGAACGAAAAUGACGGUACCUAACUAAGAAGCCCCGGCUAACUACGUGCCAGCAGCGGC